rnacentral:rRNA from 1 species
UACGUAGGGUGCAAGCGUUGUCCGGAAUUAUUGGGCGUAAAGGGCUCGUAGGCGGUCCAUCACGUCGGGGGUGAAAAGCUGGGGCUUAACCCCAGUCCGGCUUCCGAUACGGGUGGACUAGAGGUAGGCAGGGGAGACUGGAAUUCCUGGUGUAGCGGUGAAAUGCGCAGAUAUCAGGAGGAACACCGGUGGCGAAGGCGGGUCUCUGGGCCGAUACUGACGCUGAGGAGCGAAAGCAUGGGUAGCGAACAGG